rnacentral:tRNA from 1 species
GUGGAUGUGGCUCAUGGUAGAGUGCUUGCCUAGCAUGCUCAAGGCCCUGGGUUCAAUCCCCAGCACCACA